rnacentral:rRNA from 1 species
AUGAGAUGCAGUUUCAAUGCAGACAUCAAGUGUGAUUAUAUAAACAACAAUCUGGCCGAGUCUUUUAAUAACUGGAUAAAAGAUUAUAAAGACUUGCCUGUUGAUGAGCUUGCUGACACAUAUAGAGAAUUGUUGAUGAAACUAGUAUACAAAAGAAGGAGAAUUGGGGAGAAAUUGAGGGGAAAGAUCAUUCCUGCUGUUAUUCAACAGAUUUUCAAUAGGACUAGAGGGCUUGGUCAUCUAAAAGUUGGAAAAUCAGGUAAUGGUAGUUGUGAAGUCAGGGACACAAGCAAAAACAGUCUUAGGCAUGUUGUGAAGGUUGACAAACAUGAAUGCACUUGUUUGGAGUGGCAGCACACCGGAAAGCCUUGUGAGCAUGCUCUAGUAUUUUUGAUGGGGAGGAGAAACCCCAAAUGGGUAGACUAUGUUCAUAAUUAUUUCUCCUUGGACAAGUUUAGGGCAGCUUAUGCAGGUGAGAUUGAG